CUAAGCUGAUCAUAAAUCCCAUACUUUAUCACAGACUUACGACAGUCAUACUGCUAAGGUGAUCGUAAAUCCCAUACUUAAACACAGACUUACGACAGUCGUAGCGCUACGAUAGCUUUGUGGAACUGCCACUGUUGUAACUGUGUCACAGUCAUUUUAACAGCAAGGUUUUGAUUCUCAGAAGAUUUUCAAAUGAAUUCUAUUAAUUGCUUUUGUAAAGCGAAUGUAUUUAUUGUUACGUGAUGAAAGGAUGGAGACAGGAGACCAGAUUAGAUGUUGCUGUGACAUGGUGACAAUGUAGCAGCAUUCACCUGAACAUUAUGUAACCACAUGUGCACAUGUCUUUGUUCCGGCUUACCUGGGAACGGACAAAGGUCAUCUUCAGAUCAUUUCCUAGAUGUGACAGUCAUGUUUUAUCCGACCAAGCUUAACACUGCAGAAUGGUUGGAAAGAAUUCCUCAAUUGUAAGAUUUAGGUAUUAUUCAAUAUCCUUUAUGAUGAUACUAAAUUUUAUUUAUGUAGCUUUUGGACUUACUAUAGAGGUGAUUAAUAUUGGUGUAGUUGAAGCUCCUAUGUCAGUAUUUGCUGGCUUGCCUGAGAUCAUAAUGCUCGUAGAUGUUUAUUCUAGUCUGUCAUGUUGAAAAUUGCCUCAAAGUUCCUACACAAGAUCCCAGGCCAAGCACUGCAGCAUGUCCUGGUACCUUGUGCUGUCAACCAUGGUUACCGGUAUUUCAAGAUGGUGCCAAUCUUGAUGGUAGCUUUUGAUCCCAACGAAAUCUUUCAAAUUGCAUUUUCUUCUUCAUAUACUUGUCUUUUUACUGUGUCUGAAAACUCUGCCUGUCUCAGUGUCUGUCUUGUCCCAUCAUCAGUACUCCAAGGGUGUAUGCACUAUGUCCAAGGGUGUAUGCACUACGUUCCUACAUCACCCGUGAAUACAUACAACAGAUAAGCAGUGCAUGUCAUGCAUGUCUGUUUUAGAUAAUGAUGACUCGCCGAUGUCAAACCAUCACAUGACAUUCAAGCAGUGUGUUAAGUACAGUCUUUAAGUCUAUGGGGGCGGUCGGGUAGCCUUGUGGUUAAAGCGUUCGCCCGUCACGCUGAAGACCCGGGUUCGAUUCCCGACACAGGUACAAUGUGUGAAGCCCAUUUCUGGUGUCCCCCGCCGUGAUAUUGCUGGAAUAUUGCUUAAAGCGGCAUAAAACCAAACUCACUCACACUCACUGUAAGUCUAUGCCACUUUUUGCACAAGAUGUAUUGUCGGUGUAAUCUGAACACUCAUAGGACCAAGCACUCGAUAGCUGUAUCCUAAGGGGGUUCCAGGGGGUCCAGACUCCCCCAUUUUGAAAACCAAAUGUAGCAUGUUGUAGGCAGUAGAGUUGUCUGAGAGAGGAUUUUGAUAUUUUGGACCCAUCCUUUUAAAAUGCUGGAUCCGCCCUUGCUCUCAUUCAUUCCCUCUUGCGGGAACCAAGCUGCGGUUGGAUUCUUUGGUUAAAAAUAUUGACUACACUGUUAAGCGGCAGUAUGUUUUCACUGGUGAUGAAGGAACCUGUGUAUUGACGAUGGGAUGAUGGAGGAACGUGGUGUAUUCAAACCUGUGUACUGGUGAUGGUCUUGUCUUUAAGGUGAUAAACAUCUGCGGUACUUAAUGGCCAUCUCAAAAGUUCACCGUAAACCGCUAGAUUGAACAGAUUAACUGGUAGCCCAGCAAGAUCAGUGCCGUGUGAGACAGGUGAUGCUGUGACACUUCUACAAUAUGUAUUUUUGUUUGUGAACUAAACAGGGUGGUUGGGUUGCUAAGAUACACAUGUAUUUGAUAAUCAUGGAAUCAUGUAUCCUUGAGAAAAUAAUACUGUGUGUAGAAAGAUUAAGGACAUUGAGUCUGGCGUUAGACUUCAAACUAUUGCAACAAUCAAAAAACUGUUAAAACAAAACAAGUCAAAGAUUCUAAAAAUUGUAUUUUUAAUACUGUCUCAGGAACUAUUCAUUUGAAGAUUAUAUAUCACCGUGUUGUGGGUUUUUGGGUGCUUAAGAAACAGUCCUAGUUUUCUCGCUAAUCACAUGAACAACUGUAAAAUAUCUCAUUUGCUCAUAAAAGAUAACUUUCUCUUAAAAACAAGCCAUCAUCUGAGUAUUUGCAAUUUCUGUGUGAUGCUACACCCCCUGUUAUAGCGUGAGUAAUCGUGAUAAACAUGGGUGAUGUCCGAAAACCUAUGAUCUGACGAUAUUCUAUUUUAAAAGUCCUUGCAAAAGGAAACUUGACACAACAAGCUGCAGUGAACUAGAAACAGGGUGUGUAUGACAAUGGUGCAAUCUAUGUUCAGCAUUACAUGAUAUUACUUGUUGAGGUUGCUGGGUAUAAAAUUACGACUAACUAACAGUGGUGCAGAGUAAUCAGGAUGGACAACUUCCUGAUCGGCAAGUGGGAUAGAGUCCGCCAUUGAUAACACCUGUCCCCAGCCAGUGGGAACUUCCUGUUCUUGUUUCCCUAACUUUGUUAUGGGGCAUUUCCACACCGAGAUCGAAGAAUAAGAAGAAGUGUAUAGUGUGAGAUAGGAUAAGUAUAUAAAUAUACAAUUUAUUAGAAAAUUUACAAAUUCAAGAUUUCCCAAUUCAUGUUAAUAUACUCACCACUACGUGAACCAUUGAAACAUAGAGAAGUAUGUACGCUAGGAAGAGACAAGGUGACUUGUAUUCUGGUAACAAGCCCAAUAAGGAGGAAGAGGCUAAAAUUCUUUCUAUUACAUUAUUUAACUGAAUGCAAUGUUAGAUAUCGUUGAGCUUAAGUAAAUAAGAACUUUGAAAAAGAUCCUAAUUUUGAACAUCAUAAUGAUUAUUUUCCCUAUUUGAGUGCCAUGGACACAUGGAAUCCUAGAUAAAUCCCUGUGGUGGACACUGAGCUAAAUCCAGCUUUCAAGAUUCAAUACUGAUUAGUUUUUAGUAAGACUACUAAAUUUUUUACAAGACAAAUAAAGUCCUAACUGCUAUAUCCUGGGGUAGACACCAUUGGCCCUAUUCAACUAGUCUGCAGAUCAUUUCUAGACUUUCACUCCUCUCAGACUAGCAGAGUAGUGGCCUUGUCUAUCCCUGAUGUCAAACCCUGUACUUUGCAACAAUCUUUUAGCAUUUUAGGUAUGUAGCAUUAUUUUAAUAUCUAUAUACUUAAACCAUUGUGUUAGCCCUUAUCCAGUGAUUUGAAUGUAAACCUGUAUCAAUAGUCUAUUGUCACUUGUGGUAUGUGACCAUCGUUAUUUGCAGGUAUGUACAAAAGGGAAGUAACUCUUCAUGUUCUGUACAGUGGGAUUGUGGGUACAAUUUGACCUUUUUAUGGUCAGGGUCAUGUGUGAUGCAUAUUUUGAUAAUUCAAUGAAAUAAUGUACUCUUUAAAAGACAUUUUCUCUGAAAGGAUAAACUUUUUGUAAUUGAGUAUGAUUCAGACUGCAUUUACCAUGUAUGAAAUGUGAAAAGGGUGUAGAAUCUACUACAGAUCGGAGAGACCCUGUUUGGAGCUUAGAGCAGGAGUACAAUAUCCUGUGUUAUGUUCAUCACAAUUGUAUCGAAUAUCAUGUCUUGUACAGAUUUUCUGUGAAGGGUUUGAAUCCAGAUCCUUUAAUAUUUGUUGAAAUAUGUAUAUAUUAGUAUCAUUAUUAACUUAAACAGCACUGUAAACAGUAUCACAGAUUAACAGAUUUUGUGUUUAUGUCAAUUGCCUGUUACCAUGGCAACCCAGGCAAGAUAUAUAUGUAUCAUAUAUAUUUCAUCUUUGUGUAUUGUGUUAUACAGCUGUUCUGAAUGUCUCGAGUGCUAGACGUGUACAAACAUAUUAUUCAAGGAUGCGUGGAAGAUUAUUGUAUACACAUUAAUGCAAGUUUUGAAUAUACUUUGAUCACUGUCUUUUUAACCCAGCAGUGUUGCUUGCCGGGGUGUGCUGAUUUGUGUCAUGUGCAAUCACUUCUAACAAACUCGGUGGACGUCCUCCACAACAGAAUGGGUUGCUGCAGACAGAAUCUACCACUCUGUCAGCACCAUGCAACUACAGCUGAUGGUGUCACUCUCUAUCGGUGUACCAUCAAAAUGUACCCUUGUUACAAAAUAAUAUAUCUAUUUGUAACCAGAUUUUUGUGCUGUAUCGUUUUGUACCCAGACCAUAUUUAAGUGUGUCCCAUUUGGGAAAUCCCACGAUGCAUUUGGGAAAUGUAUUGCAGGCAAUAGACUAACAUCUAGUCUCUGAAAUGAACUAUUUAUAGAAGAAAAAACAGUUAUUAAAUUAUGGUUUUGAAAUAUAAUAAAAAGGAGCCCAGAGACUUUCUUCAUUUUCAGAUACUGCAGUAAUCUAGGCUUGCCUAAUAUUAUAGACUUGCAUGGGAUGUAUUGGAUAAAUUGUUUCAGGGUCUGUAUAACAGACUAUAAGGGGAGGGAAGAGACAGACUUUCAUUGAAAUAAUUUUUGAUAUAAACAAAAUGCAAAUGUUUUUAAAUGUAUUUUAUAUCAAGAGCUAGGCCCAGCAAUAUUUUAUCAGUUUAUAGAACACAGUUCUCUAUCUAUACUGUAGUGCAGUUCGUUGACACAGUCUAUUUAUUGAAGCUCCUCAGUUUAUUUCGUUGAGAAGCUAUUGUUGAUACAUUUAUAACAUAGAAUAUCGGGAGAUUUCCAAAAUCGUGGUACACUUGCUGUGGUUGGGUACAAAACAAUACGGCAACCAAAAUCUGGGUUCAACUCAAUAUAUAUUUUUGUACCAAGGGUACAUUUGAUAGUAAACAGAUCGAGAGUGACCCUAGCAGCGCAACUAAGGUGGAUAUCAAGUUUGGACAACACAUGAAGGCCCUUUUCAACAAGCUGAUUUAAGGGAUGCAACUGUUGUAAACUGACAUCUUACAACAGUGUUAGUGCUGAGUUGGUUUGUAGAACAUGGCCCCGAUUGUUGUGGUCGGUGGUCGGUGGUUGGCAUGUUCUGCUGGGUAAGCCUGUAUAUAUGCAUGCUGAUACAUUACAGUGUGAGGAGAUGAGACCUCUUAAAUUUUGGAAAUAUUUUCGUUCUGUGAGUGCUAAUCUCUGACUACAGAUUUUGAUGACACAUGUUUCAUUUCUUAUUAUUUAGAAAGAAUUACACCUAUAGUUUUGAAAAUUGAUUUGACAAGUCAAAUACUUAAGAUUGUAUGGAUAAAACAGCUUUACAUAAAACUUUUCUAUAUAUGCAAACUUCUUUAUUCUGCCGUUCCCUGUGUGUGCACAUGAUGCCUGGCACUUGACAGUGUCACUGCACACUGUAUGCUAUGUGCAAUGGUCAGCUAGGUAGCCUGUGAUAUUUGUAACAGAUAUAUCUAUAUACACAUACCCUCAUACACCAGUAUUGAGAUCAUCAACGCUCACAUGGCAACACUUAGUGCAGUUAUUGAAAACAGAAUGGGUAAGAGAGUGAGAUCCUAGCUUCUUUGAGAGGCAUUUAGAAGUUGGAGUACUAAGUAUGAAUAAUUACAAUUAGGAGGGACGUUUCGGUGUAGGCUCUAACACCCUUAUCAAGCAAGUGAUGUACAGAGUAUGGUUGAAUGAGUGAGAUCCUUUUUUUUUCUGAGAACAAGACCUACCAGUAAGUGUCGUUAAGGUACAAUGUUUAUGAAAAACGGUAUCAGCAGGUGUUUCGACUGCCAUUCUAGUAAUUCUUGAAACUGUUUUCACAUCUUGGUUGUGUUGUUCAUUGACUCUUCUGAUGUCGGAGUUUCUGGAUCUCCUCUGCAGUAGGUUAUGCUUGAGAGAAUGAUGAUGUAAUAUUGAUUUGAUAUAAGGUCACACAUCCAGCCUUGUCACUGGCAUACUCAGAGAAAGGUUUCAGGGAUAUAGAACCCUGUCCAAGACCCUGGACAGUCAAAGCAUGGCUGACGUAUCUUCAUACCUCGAACAUAUUGUCAUUUUUUUACUUCUUUUGCAUCAAAAUAGUGAACUAGGCUUAGACGAAGAGUUGGGUGUUAUACAUGUAUAACCAAGUUUUAUGUACCAAAUGUUGCAACGUUUGUAUGCAUAUACUGGUAUCUUGUAUUUCAGUCCUUCUUCACCAGUUGAAUACAGGCUCUGUUAGUUACUGUUGAAUGUGCCUGGGACACAGGUGACCCUUUGGUUUUAGGUGCUGAAAUUUGUUGAGAAGAGUUGUGUCCCUUAGCCAGGCGGCGGGUUUCUUGUUUGAAUUCCAAAAUAUGAUUCAUAGUCUGACAGCACCAUGGCCAUGCUCGUGGCGUUCACGCAAGUGGUUGUAUCUGCUUUACUUCAGGCUUUUUUCAUGCAGUAAGCUGUUCUAAGCGGCUUGGUUCCACUCUUAUUUCAGGUCUGAUGAGACAUUAAUGUUUUCACGGGGACCAUUUAUGUUAGGGUUGGCAUUUAUGUAGAGUCCAAUAACGUAGUUCAGAUAGUUAGCCAGUUUUGAAGAAAGUUGUUUGCAUAGUCACAUACAGAAAGCUUUGAUAUGCUAGAAAUUAUUGCAAACAUUUGCUCAUCACGCUGAAGCUCCAGGUAUGAUUUUCCAUGUGGGUACAAAAUGUGAAACCCAGUCUUAGUGUCCCCGGCCUGUUGAUUUAAUAUUGUGGCAUUACUCUACUCAGUCCCUACCAAGUCUGACUGUAGAUUCUUGCUGCUUCUUUCCCUCCCUGCUCAAUAUAGGCUUAGCUUGCUUACCUAGUCGCUGAUGCUGCUCAUGUACAUAUAGCAAAGAACAGCUAGUUGGGGUCCUGUUUUUAUGCACUUGUUAAAAUUACAUACUUUCUGAAAUCUGAUUUUUGAUUUUAAGGGUAUUUUUAAAUUAAUCUGUAUGAAGUACUCAAUAUUUUACGGCUAGAAGGUCUCUUCUGCAUCUUUUGCAAUUUAUGUGGAGAAAAUUGCCAAAUGUAACAAGCGACUUGUACAUACGCUUUGAAAGACGAGGAUGUCAAAUGGCUUAGCUCAAUCAAAUCAAAAGAUUAUUAUUCUGAAUGAAGGCAUUUUCCUAUCUUUGUUUCAAAUGAAAGCAGCUUUCAUAGGGGACAGGAGGCAGAUUUGUGUUUUGGAAAGUUUAUACAAGGAUGUUUGUUAGUUAAGAACUGGUUGCUGCCGAAGAGAGGUGGGGAUGGCGAACAGGCCUAAAGUGUCAUAGCCUGUUUUGAAGAGUUGCUCCUCUUUACUCUAGUCCAGCUUCUCUCAGGUUCAGAUCCUUGAUUCACCCUGGAUGGCCAGCACCAUGGGUUGCUACAAGGUGUUGAACAUUUACGAUCAUUGCCCAGUCAUCUAAGGCACCACAAGUCACUGUUCAGAGUUGCUUCCCUUGGGCACGCCAGGAACCUGAUAUUUGGUUUGAAUCCUGGUUCAGCCCGAAUAUGUUCUAGGUUUGUCAACGUCAUACCCAUGCUUUUGGUUUUCCCAAAGUGGUAAAUGUCUAAGACUUGCAUCACUUUGGGUUUUCCUCCCACAUUAAGCGGACACGCCAUGAUAGAACUGGGAUACUGUUGAAAGCAGAGUUAAACCUAACUCACUCACUCACUCACUUUGAAUUUCCUCCAACAUUGAUCACUGAAAUAUUGUAGUGUUGCACUCACUGAGUCACACAUUCACUUCUCUUGAGGCUCACCUUACAAACAUUGUACAAUAUCAUGCUAACCAAACUACUGAGAUUAAUUAGUUCCACUGGACACUUUGCCUUGCUGGCACUGAGAGCUAGUAUCCUGUGAGAUAAAACAGUUGGAGCAGGUGGUGCCCCAGUGCAGACUUGCGUUGCUUCUGUCCCUGUUCCCAUGUGACCUGUGUCAGCCUGUACAGCCUGCCAUUGUAAAUUGUGCCAACAUCGUGUGUGCAGUGUGAAGUCGAGCAAGGAAUUUUCAGUUCAUAACAUAACCUUUUAUAUGAUGUAAUCAAACAGUUGCCUCUUGUCCAACAUGGCACAGUGUAUAUAUAAUGUGUAUGUCAGUGUCCCACAGCUGAACACCUCAAGCUACAGCUACAGUUGAACACCACAAGUUCAAGUUGAACACCUCAACUUGAACACUUAGUUACAGGUAAACACCUCAAGCUACACAUGAACACCUCAAGUUCAAGGCGAACACCUCAAAUAGCUUGUGAACACUUAGUUAUAGGUAAACACCUCAAGCUACACAUGAACACCUCAAGUUCAAGGCGAACACCUCAAAUAGCUUGUGAACACUUAGUUAUAGGUAAACACCUCAAGCUACACAUGAACACCUCAAGUUCAAGGCAAACACCUCAUAAAGUUUGUGAACACUUAGUUACAGGUAAACACCUCAAGCUAGAGGAAAACACCAAAGUUAGAGUUCAACACCUCAAACUACCGUUGGACACUUUUAGCUACAGAUGGACACCUCAAGCUACACAUGAACACCUCAAGUUCAAGGCGAACGCCUCAAAUAGCUUGUGAACACUUAGUUUCUGGUAAACACCUUAAGCUGCACAUGAACACCAAAGUUAGAGUUUAACACCUCAAGCUACCUGUGGACACUUUUAGCUACAGGUGGACACCUCAAGCUAUAAGUGAACACAGCUACAUGACAAACAUCUCAAAAACAUUUGUCAAACCAUGCUGGUAUGUCCUGGCCAAGGGUAUGUGAUGUUAAAUAUGUAUCGGUUCCUUUCACCUGUAAAACUGACCACCGUAUUAGACCAAGUUGUGUCAAACUAACAGGACUUUCCUCCUGAACAGACAAUGCUUUUUGUGCCACUUUUGUGAACUCCCUAUAUAAUCUGUCCAGCAUAUCAACAGCAGUCAACACAGGAUGUAGGUCUGAUGCAGUGAGAUCCCGCCAGGUCGGCCCUGUUGGUCACACAAAUAUCAACUGUAAGGACUGGGCACUGUUCCUCAAAACGAUCUUAGCGCUAAGAUGAUCGUAACUCCCGGACAUUAACAUAAACUUACAAUCGUAGCGCUAAGAUCACUUUGUGGAACAGGACCCUGAUCCUUGAGCAGUGUCUGUAUACUGAACUUUUGAUAGAGGUGAAGUUUGUGAAUCCAGAGUUGAUUGAUUCAGGCUGUUUGAUUUUCCUUUCUGUGUGGACAAAUACAUGGCGACCCAUCUGACAGUGUUUUCUUACCUACUCUAUGGUGAUGACAGACUGUAUAUAGUUGUGUUAUGAAGUGAAGGAGAUUAAGGGAAACUCUACCUCACAGCAUGCUCUCAAGCAGGAAUACUUCCUUAAAGCAGUCCUGGGAUUAUUGCAAUUCACCACAUGCAAGAGAGACUUGCAACACUUCCACUGGACUGCCGUUUGGAUGAGAUCACCUGUGUCCUUCCGGCUUCCUCCCACAGUAAGCUGAUGUGACUAAAAUACUUUUCAAGGCAACUUGAUUGUGUAUUUCAUAUUUAUCUGUCUCAUGGUACAUACAGUGCUAGGGUGUUUCAGCCAGGUUGAUUUCUUACACUAAGUAAUUGAAACACUGAUUGUCUCUUCAAGCAAGGGAGAUCACUGCGACAAAUCCAUAAGCUUCAUGCAGGUCAGAUCCGAUUACUACAGUAAGUUCCGAAGCCCACGAUAGCAGUUAUCUCUCUUAGCUGUGCCAGGAUUUGCUGGUCAUGGUUUUCCUAGAUUCUGAUCCUUGAUUUGCCAGCAUUUUCCCUAUGUCUGUUUCAUCAACAUAAAUGUUCAUUAUGUGUGUCACUUGAGGCUUGGGCACUCUUCCCACAUCAAGAUGGCAUACUGUGAUAUAAUGCAAAUCGGGGGCACGGGUGGCCCAGUCGUCUAAGGCGCCCCGAUUCGCUGUGCAGAGUUGCGUCCCUUGGGCAUGCCAGAAACCUAUGAUUGUGGGUUCGAAUCCUGAUUCGCCCCGAUUAUGUUUCUAGGUUUGUCAGCACCAUACCUGUGCUCGUGGGUUUCACCGAAGCUUUCCUCCCACAUUAAGCUGACGCGCCGCGAUAUAACUGGAAUACUGUUGAAAGCGGCAUUAAACCCAACUCACUCACUCACUAUAAUGCAAAUCCCAUACAAAGCGGUGUCCAACCCUACUCACAUAAUGGGGAACGCUAAACACAAACCGAACUUCACAUAUGUACAUUGCCAAUGAACAAAUCUGUCAUUCAUCACUGGCCCCUGAAAGUUCAAGUUUCCUCAGAUUUCUAUACAUGUGUAAUAUCGACCAAUAUUACACUGCCAUGUGCCGCACACAGCAUCACACUCGUCCAACACUGAUGGAUGGCUCAUAGUCAUAUUUCUGUUUCCCGGUCUCCUUCACAUGCUUUCAUGGCAAUCAUUUCAGAAUUGAGCUUUAACACCAACCUUCACACAUUUAGCUCAAUAUUGCUUGUCUAGAUAUAUUUGUUUGUCAUUGCACAUAGCAUUAAUAUUCAGAUCAUGUUUAAAAAUCUUUUUUGAAUUGUUUUCUUCAGUAGGAUAUUGGAUUUUCACAAAAUUAUCUUUUUCCAAUUUAGUGAACGUUCUGAAGCAACUUACAGCUGUCUUACAGCUUUCUACAUGGAAGGAAGUCCUUCAAUACAGUUGUGUCAGACAUGCAUGUCUAUAUUGAGGUCAUUGUUAGUUUGUAUAUAAAUCAACUUGAAACUAAGACAAGAACUGACCAGCAUUGUAAUGUUUCUCUAUAUUUGCCACAUAAAUUUGUUUUCUUUAGCAAAAAGAAAAUUACAAUAAUCUUAUUUUCAUUCCAACAAAGGAAUGGCUCUCAUUUAACUCAGUGCAAGUUUUUCUGCACUGAAUACAGUUUCUAUCUAGUGAGGAUUGCUUCAGUUUGCUUUACAUUUGGUGAUGCCAAUUUGUUAAGGCCAUGUUCCCAGAUGGGGAGUUAAAAAAAAAAGGGCCCCUUUAAAUGUAUCAAGUGGAAGAAAUCAACAGUUGUCGCUCGAUUUGUGAAGGCUAGAACAUGAUGUCACUUCUACAUCAUUUAGUUGUUGCGUUAAAAAUAUGUUGUUAUCAAAUUUAAAUUUAUGUUGAUAUUCUACUGAAUUACAGAAAUAAAGAACUGUACCUAAUA
rnacentral:lncRNA from 1 species